UCUUUUAUUUUUAGGGAUAUUCUACUGUUUUGAUUUUGAAAUAUGAUGACAGAUCUGUGGUUAACUCUACCCGUCAGUGGUCUGAAGCCAGGAGUUGAGUAUUUGUUCUGUGAGGAUUUCAGCAGCCAGUAUUCAUUCACUGUUGCUCAAAGUUCUCCUACAGAGAAGUUCUAGGAAGGUGGUGAGUGACGGGGGUAUAGCUGAGAACCGAAAUGCUUGGGUUCAUGACCGUCGCAGACUGGAGAGAAGUCAUCUUAUUUUUAAAGACCUCCAAAGUAGAUUCCACUGUCUUCCCUCACAGCCCGUUCUGGUGUCUACGAGUUCUCGAUGCUGGCGAGUUCUCCUUGCGAUCUAACUAAAUUCUUUGUGCAGAAGCUCAGGCCACCCAGCUGUGGCAGCCAGAGGAAAAUUCCACCAGUUUCUACAUAUGCUUCUUCAAGAAGGUCAGUAAGCCUUUGGAGGCCUGAUAAUCCUCAUUUCCACAUCUUCGUUUGUGGCUUGUGGAGUCUCCUGUUCCAGAGCCUCGGUGUUGACUCUCCGCCUCACUGAAGAGGUCUCUUCACCGCCCCUCCCCAUCCCCAGAGAGGAGAGAAGGCAGCUCCGAGUAGCACUGAGAGCCGAGCUCCGUUUAGAGGGAGUCCAGAGGCUUCACUAAAUUGCCCAAAGGAUCGAGGAUCAGGACCUAGUAACCUGCUGUGUGACAGGCAGGAUCCAGAUUCACGAUGAACAGCGAGCUUUUAAAAAGUCAGCAUAUGUCCAUGAACUUUGAAGAACUGCAGCAAGGAAUCCAGGAAAUUCCAUUGUUUGGACAACAGGCAAGGAAGGCAGCUUCCUCCCAGGAGCAGGCAACACUUGCACCCACCCUGCAAUUAGACAGAAGGACAGACGGCCAGUUAGAGGAGGAGAUUAGCAUUUAACAGAACCUGGGUUUUUUCUGGUUUAUUAGAAACCUCGGAGACCCAAAUUUUGCUUUCCCCUUCACAGUGAAAACUCGAAUACUUCUUGUGGUUUCAUCUGCUUUGUUAAUUUAAAAACUUGGCCACUAAAAUAGGAUCCAUGAUGCUGUAAAACCUGAAAGGGCAAAUUUGGAAGAAGCACUGCAGUGGUAGAUUUCCAGUCACCCUCCCAGGCUGCUCACCAAGGGGCAAACUAAGUUCCUUUUAACAUGAACUGCUCAGCAAGAAACGUUUUGCCCACAUUUAAACCCAUACUCAGAGUCCCCUGUAGUCUUCAAAUCUGCCUGUCGUGCUGGAUUUACACACAUUCGCAUCGUGGGGGCCUAGAGACUUGGAGGCACGGUGCUUCAGGAGGCCAGGAUGGGGGCAAGUGCUACGGAGACAUUGGGGAGAGUGGAGCAAGGGGACCUCAGGUGAGUGUGCUGCAUCCCUGACAUGAGCUGCCCCUGCAGUUGUCUGGGGCUUGGGGUCUGAGGGCACAGGGCAAAGAGCAGCCAGAGAGGGCAGGAUUAAUGCCAGGAUCCUAGCCUUCAGAAAGGGCAAAAGGCCACUUUGGGCCCACAGUGACAUGACCCUCAAGGCUGAAGACAAGUUCUGGGGUGAAAAGGAAGUGAGAGAGAUUGAUUUUACAGUAGGGUUGCCAGAUUUAGCAAAUUAAAAUACAGAAUUCUCAGUUAAAUUUAAAUUUCAGAAAAAAAAGAUUACUUUAGUAUAAUUAUAUCCCAAGUGUUGCAUGGGAUAUACUUAUACUAAAAAUGUCUUUCAUUGUCUACCUGAAAUUUUAAUGUAACUGGAUGUCCUGCAUUUAAUCUUCCUUGUACGUCUCCAGCUCACCAGUUCCUCCACCUGAUGUCCCAGCCCACCCCUGUCCCUGGUGUUUUCUUUUCCCUUCCCUCCUCUUCCCCAGUGAUACAAGAGAGGAUCUGACAACAGGUCCCAAAUAACUGGAGCUCAUUCGAUACUGAUAUAUUCUCUUGCUUCCAUUUGCAUGUUUACUUCUUUGUGGCUGUCCAAAGUUUAAAGACUUUAUUUCCUGCUAAAAUUACCCCAAGCAAUAUACAACAGAGGAGGGGAGAUAUAGGGACAAGUGCUUUAAUAAUUCAAGCAGCCCCUUCUGAAGUGCUGGAGAGUGUAAACUGUUCGCACCAGGCCCCCUAGUUUGUUGGCACCUCCCUGGAGAAAUCCAGCUUGCAGCCUCCAGAUCCAAUGGUUGCCACCCAAGCCUGCAGCCGCUCAGGUGCUUUCAUCUGGGAAACACGAAGGAAUGGAAAACACGGGGGAUAGGAGGCAGAGACAAAGCACCCAACUAUUGCAGGUCCCUCACUCUCUCUUACUCUGGGAAAAGCCAGCUGCCAUGUCAUGAGCUGCCCUAUGGAGACGCCUACACGCCUGGACCCCAGCAAGGCCUCUGACCAACAGCCAUUGAGAACCUGAGACUUGCCAACAGCCAGGGAGUGAGCUUGAAAAAGGAUCCACUCCCAGUUGAGCCUUGAGAUGCAGGCAGCCCUCGUGGAACCUUCAUGCAAUCUUGUGAGAAGCUCCAAACCAAAGGCAUCCUGACCCACAGAAACGGAGAUCAUCAUUACUACUAAUAAUAUAAUUCAUUAAUAUUAAAUGUUGGUUGUUUUACACUGCUCAACUUUGGGGUAAUUUGUAUGCAGCAACAGA